rnacentral:rRNA from 1 species
UACAGAGGUCCCGAGCGUUGUUCGGAUUUAUUGGGCGUAAAGGGUGCGUAGGCGGCGGAGUAAGUUGGGUGUGAAAUCCCGGGGCUCAACCUCGGAAUGGCAUUCAAUACUGCUUCGCUCGAGUACUGGAGAGGGUAACGGAAUUCACGGUGUAGCAGUGAAAUGCGUAGAUAUCGUGAGGAACACCAGAGGCGAAGGCGGUUACCUGGACAGUUACUGACGCUCAGGCACGAAAGCGUGGGGAGCAAACAGG